rnacentral:rRNA from 1 species
UACGUAGGGUGCGAGCGUUGUCCGGAAUUAUUGGGCGUAAAGGGCUCGUAGGCGGUCUGUUGCGUCGGGAGUGAAAACUCAGGGCUUAACCCUGAGCCUGCUUCCGAUACGGGCAGACUAGAGGUAUGCAGGGGAGAACGGAAUUCCUGGUGUAGCGGUGAAAUGCGCAGAUAUCAGGAGGAACACCGGUGGCGAAGGCGGGUCUCUGGGCAGUAACUGACGCUGAGGAGCGAAAGCGUGGGGAGCGAACAGG